UUAAAUUGCACUAAGCUACCUACAAAGCUCACCUCAGUUCUUCUGCUGAUGCCAAUGACAUCUUCAACUCUGGAAAUUGCAUAAGAGUGCUGAUGUGACUGGAAGACAGCCAUCAGAUCACUAUCGUCACAUCCUGAAUGGACUUGUGCUGAGACCAUGAGAUAUAAAUAGAAUGCUAUGAUAUUCUCAAGAAUCCACCAUGAUCAUCCAGUAAAGCCCCAGGAUGGAAUGAUCUUCUGGAUGGAGUUUGUCAUGAGCAACAAAGGAACUACAUACCCUCGGGUGACAACACAUGUAGUCAACUGGUUCUAAUACCACUCUGGAUGGGUUUGGGUUCCUGACGGCCUGUGGUGACUGUGAAAUCCGUUAUAAUAAAAAUGUUGCGUAUUUAAAA